rnacentral:rRNA from 1 species
GACGAACGCUGGCGGCGUGCUUAACACAUGCAAGUCGAACGGGAAGGCCCUGCUUUUGUGGGGUGCUCGAGUGGCGAACGGGUGAGUAACACGUGAGUAACCUGCCCUUGACUUUGGGAUAACUUCAGGAAACUGGGGCUAAUACCGGAUAGGAGCUCCUGCUGCAUGGUGGGGGUUGGAAAGUUUCGGCGGUUGGGGAUGGACUCGCGGCUUAUCAGCUUGUUGGUGGGGUAGUGGCUUACCAAGGCUUUGACGGGUAGCCGGCCUGAGAGGGUGACCGGCCACAUUGGGACUGAGAUACGGCCCAGACUCCUACGGGAGGCAGCAGUGGGGAAUAUUGCACAAUGGGCGGAAGCCUGAUGCAGCAACGCCGCGUGCGGGAUGACGGCCUUCGGGUUGUAAACCGCUUUCGCCUGUGACGAAGCGUGAGUGACGGUAAUGGGUAAAGAAGCACCGGCUAACUACGUGCCAGCAGCCGCGGUGAUACGUAGGGUGCGAGCGUUGUCCGGAUUUAUUGGGCGUAAAGGGCUCGCAGGUGGUUGAUCGCGUCGGAAGUGUAAUCUUGGGGCUUAACCCUGAGCGUGCUUUCGAUACGGGUUGACUUGAGGAAGGUAGGGGAGAAUGGAAUUCCUGGUGGAGCGGUGGAAUGCGCAGAUAUCAGGAGGAACACCAGUGGCGAAGGCGGUUCUCUGGGCCUUUCCUGACGCUGAGGAGCGAAAGCGUGGGGAGCGAACAGGCUUAGAUACCCUGGUAGUCCACGCUGUAAACGGUGGGUACUAGGUGUGGGGUCCAUUCCACGGGUUCCGUGCCGUAGCUAACGCUUUAAGUACCCCGCCUGGGGAGUACGGCCGCAAGGCUAAAACUCAAAGGAGUUGACGGGGCCCCGCACAAGCGGCGGAGCAUGCGGAUUAAUUCGAUGCAACGCGUAGAACCUUACCUGGGUUUGACAUGGAUCGGGAGUGCUCAGAGAUGGGUGUGCCUCUUUUGGGGUCGGUUCACAGGUGGUGCAUGGCUGUCGUCAGCUCGUGUCGUGAGAUGUUGGGUUAAGUCCCGCAACGAGCGCAACCCUUGUUCACUGUUGCCAGCACGUUAUGGUGGGGACUCAGUGGAGACCGCCGGGGUCAACUCGGAGGAAGGUGGGGAUGACGUCAAGUCAUCAUGCCCCUUAUGUCCAGGGCUUCACGCAUGCUACAAUGGCUGGUACAGAGAGUGGCGAGCCUGUGAGGGUGAGCGAAUCUCGGAAAGCCGGUCUCGGUUCGGAUCGGGGUCUGCAACUCGACCUCAUGAAGUCGGAGUCGCUAGUAAUCGCAGAUCAGCAACGCUGCGGUGAAUACGUUCCCGGGGCU